ensembl:lncRNA
CCAUGUGUUACUGAUGUGAAUGUCUGCACGCUAUUCCGCACUCAUUUACUGAGCUCACGUAUCUGAGCUCACGUGUUCAAUUACAGCUGAACAUCUGCCUGGUGUCAAACUGAGUUCUACAUCAGCAGCUAACAAUAAAGUGAAAGAUUUAACAGGAAGUCAGAAAUUGUCUACAAGCUCCUCCUCCAGCCAUGUGUAGGAGGUGUGUGUUGGAGGGUGGAGGUGUGUGUUGGAGGGUGGAGGUGUGUGUUGGAGGGUGGAGGUGUGUGUUGGAGGGUGGAGGUGUGUGUUGGAGGGUGUAGGUGUGUGUUGGAGGGUGUAGGUGUGUGUUGGAGGGUGGAGGUGUGUGUUGGAGGGUGUAGGUGUGUGUUGGAGGGUGGAGGUGUGUGUUGGAGGGUGGAG